UGCGACGCCGCGUGCAGGAUGAAGGCCUUCGGGUCGUAAACUGCUGUCAGGGGGGAAGAAACUUUACGUAUGAAUAAUACGUAAACUGACAUCACCCCCAAAGGAAGCCACGGCUAACUCUGUGCCAGCAGCCGCGGUAAGACAGAGGUGGCAAGCGUUGUUCGGAUUUAUUGGGUGUAAAGGGUCCGUAGGUAGUUAUGCAAGUCUGGUGUGAAAGCCCAUGGCUCAACCGUGGAAUUGCAUUGGAAACUGCAUGACUUGAGUACCGGAGAGGUGAAGGGAAUUCUCGGUGUAAGGGUGAAAUCUGUAGAUAUCGAGAGGAACACCAGUGGCGAAGGCGCUUCACUGGCCGGUUACUGACACUGAGGGACGAAAGCAAGGGGAGCAAACAGGAUUAGAUACCCUGGUAGUCCUUGCCGUAAACGAUGUGGAUUAGGUGUCAGGGGUGUCGAUCCCUCUGGCGCCGACGCUAACGCAUUAAAUCCACCACCUGGGGAGUACGGUCGCAAGACUGAAACUCAAAGAAAUUGACGGGGACCCGCACAAGCGGUGGAGCAUGUGGUUUAAUUCGAGGCUACGCGAAGAACCUUACCCAGGUUUGAAAAGCAGUUGACAUCCCAUGAAAGU
rnacentral:rRNA from 1 species